UCUGUGAAGCUUCGAUAUUAUAAACUCGUCGUAAUGUUUGUAAUGUUCCCAGGUGGGACUAUCCCAGCGUCGUCGAAGGCUUGAGAGACCGGGCGUGAACUUGGGCCGUCGUCCAAAGAUUCUUCCCUGACCUCGCCUCCUCCCGCCCCCUUCCGGCGAUGUGCAGCUCGACGGCGACCACUCCCCUUUGCCUGAGGCGGUGACUCCCCUCCUUCCUCUCCCUGGGUCCUCCACGAGCUAGGCUUUACAGGACCGGUGGCCUCUAACCCUGCCUCCACUCCGCUUCUCUGUCUCGGUGGAUCUUGAUUUCCGGACGAACACACACCCAGGGCAGAAACAUCUGCUAGAAUAGAACCAACAGCCAAGAACCAGCGGCGGCGGCAAGAAGAGGUCUCCGCUCCUAGGUUUCGCACUUCCGCAAGCUGCAGAGCUGUCGGUUCUCUGAUCUCUCUGAGUAGUGAAUGCCACUCAAACAUCAUGCACCUGAACCAAGGGCUUCAUUGCGUGCAUUGGCAGUUAACACCAGGAUCCAAGGGUCGGAGAAGUAGCACACAAACCAUCCACUGCCAAUAGAACAAGGUCCAGACGGCAGUACCUUUUAUCAGACUUGAACCAGCAAGGAAUGCAUAACCAGGAUGCCAAUUUCUUGUGGCCAAUUGCAUCACAUGGAGCUGCAACCCACGUUUGUGAAGUCGUUGAGUCCAAGAUGCACCAGAUUUCAGAAAUGAAUUGAUUCUCUGUUUGCAAGUCACCACCAGUCAAUAAUUGGACCCUUAAAACUUAAAGAUAAAUAUAUCUUCGAUCAUCCCCAGCUUGUACAUCUCUGAGAUGACAGCAGAUCCUUCUUCACCAGUACUGAUGAUUUCUACAUUUCUACUUUCAUAGUCAUGGACCAAGACCUCAAACUUUAAAUGGUUAAUGCUAGAAUCAUCAGCACUACUAGCAGGAGUGUAACCAACAGGAAAUCCAGUCCACUGUACUGUGACACCAUUCUGCUCAGCGAAACGCAUGAUCGGCACAUUGUUCAGUAUCAUGUUAACCUGGUAAAGAUCAUGGGCAUGCAGUUUUA